rnacentral:sRNA from 1 species
AAAAAAAAAUCAAAAAUUGUUUCGUCGAAGACGCAGAACAAUUCCGACGAAACAUAAACUCAUAUCGAAAGUGAAAUUUCGAUUGAGGCUUUGUGCGAGUUCGAGUCGUUGCUUAAAUGGAGGAAAUUUCGAUCGAGUUCGUGUUAAAGGGUAACAAUAAGAGGAUUUUCGGAUUUUUCGAGUUACUGUUUCUAGAAGAACUCAAAUGGCGGAGAUGAAGAAGAGUAGUCGGCGGCGAGGACUUUCGGAAGUUAAUGUAUCAUCGUCGGCGACGACAAUUAUGGGUAAGGGUAAGAGGUUGAAGAAGAGUGCAAAAUUAGGGUUGCAGAGGUUGAAAAAGAGUGCAAAAUUAGAGUUGUAGAGGUUGAAGACAAAUGCAAAAUUACAGUUAUACCCUUCAUUAAAUUUCUUAUGUGUACGUAUAUGUAAUUUACGGUGUACGUACAUGUUGACAUGUAAAUAUAAUAGAUUAUAUUUUAUUGUUAAAGCGGUAUACACAAUUAUAUAUUGAGUUUGUACAUUAUAAAUCUUUGGUUAUUUCGAUUAGAUGAGAUAUUUUCGGAGUUUUCUCCAUAAAAUCUAUGCAUAUAUAAUAAUGAAGUAAAAAUAUAUGGUCAAAGUAUAUAUAUUCUU